CCAUCACCGUCUGGAAGCGGCGCGCGAAGGCGUCGUCGGCGAGUUUCUU
rnacentral:sRNA from 1 species